rnacentral:rRNA from 1 species
CUAGAGCGAGCGGGAUUGGGCGUCCCUCCUCUCUUCUGUGAAAAUAUCUCCUCUCUCCCCUCUUCUCUGUGCCGCCGCCGCCGCCGCCUCCGCUUCCCCCCUCCCUCUCGGCCGCCUUGUCUCCUCCGCGUCCACCGUCUGCUUCUCCCCUUGUCUCGGCACCCGAGUAGCACGGCCACAUCACGCCUGCGCCCUCGCUUUGCCACAUCCUCUGCGUCGUCGUGCCAUCACACCGCCUCCACUUCGCCUUUGGUUCCCCGCCGCAGCCUCCUGCCCGUGCGCUUGAGAGGGGCAUCGCCGUCGUUGCCGGUGGCGACUUCAUCGGCCGCCUCCUCUCUCCUUGCCAAUCGUGACUGCCACGACCUCGGACCUCGCUGCAGACCCCUCGGCUAUCAGGGAAGGCAGCCAUCAGUGGAGAUUGAGCCGGCUACAUGGGGAAGAGGUAUGAAAUUCUCAACUUAGGAGGGAGCAUACACAAGUGUAAGCAGACCCUUGAGUAGGAGAGCAACAUGACUGCUAGCUUCCCUGCUGCAUUACAGGAGAUGGAUACGAAGUCCUCGGAGGAGGAAUACAAAGCUCUACAAGGUGAUGGAGCUGGAGAUGUUGUGUAUUUCCAGUCUCUUGAAGAACGAAUCAUUAAUAUGAAGAUUUUGCAGGGAUGUAUAUAUAUGAUCAUGUUUCACUGGGAUCCUCAACUGUUCCGGUUCGUAUUUAGCAGGAUCACAUGUUGACCAAUGACUCAAAUUAAUUUUCUCACUGAUCCUGUUUACUCAAGAACUUGUGACCCAGUUCCAGGACAACUAUGGACUAAGGGAUGGAGGUUGAUUUAUCAUGAGGCGGUUACAGGCAUGCAUGUUUUAUGGUGGCAAGCAUUAUAUAUCAUUGAAGACUCACCAUUUGUUCAAGUUCCUAACAUGCUAAUCGGCAACCUUUAGAAGAUUGCCCUUCAAAAUUUUCUUGCCUGCUCUCCUUGCCCCUGAGCUCCUGUACCAGCAACAACAACUUGUGUGUGGUAUCAGCCAGAGAUUAGCGUUGAUUUUUUCAAGUUAUUGGGACACUCGAGAACUAGCAGUACCACAUAAAAAAGUCUGGAGUUAGCAGAACCAGAAGCAUUACACUGAGGCGCUCAGAAGAAACCCAAAGGAUCCAAAGGUAUACGGCAACACGGCUUCCUGUUACACCAAGACGGAUGCCAUGCCUGAAGUACUGAAGGAUACCAAGAAGUGCAUCGAGCUAUAUCCCACAUUCUACAAGGGAUGCACAAGGAAGGGUGCAAUCCUGUUUGUCUCUAAAGAAUGCGACAAAGCAAGGGAACGAGUGUUCCUGAGUGCUACAAUGGAAAAAGUGAAGAUUCCAGUAAAAGUGCUUCUAGACGCUAUGAUGCACCAGCUUGGCCUCCCAAAUGCAGUUUACUCAACACAAAAAGGGGCGGACGGUCGGUCUUGAUCCCAAAUGCAGUUUACUCAACACAAAAAGGGGCGGACGGUCGGUCUUGAUGCAAUAGUUCACUUCUAUGGAUGUAAGCAGCAACUGGACAAUAGACUUUCACAAAAAUCAAUAUCCAUCCAUGUGUAUGAUAAACUCGAAGAAGCUGAAGAUCAACUAGCAACUGAGGCUCUCAGGUGCAUACAAGGUUCUUACAACACAGUUCUACAAGACAUAAACUACGACAAGGCACAUCUAGCUCAAGAAAAAUGUUAGACUCUAGAGCAUCAGCAAAAAAGAUAAGGACGGAAGAAUCAACUAUUUUAGCAGCAGUGGAGAUCAAAUUGCAGCAAAGGAACUUUAUCGCAUAACAGAUACAAACUAGCUGGCUCAAUAUCCAAAGACAACAAUCUCAAUCAUGUUUUAUCACAGGUAACAUAUGCUGCUGACCGUCUUAGCGAUACAACAACACAGUCUGAAUAUGAUCUCCAGCAAAUAAACCACUAUUAUUGGGGCCUGGACGAUGAUAUCGAAGGAAUUUCUGCUUUGAGCAAUGCAGGCCACGAAGAAUAGCAGUUAUGAAGAGUUGCCUCAAAGAGGUUCAAGAGAAGCAAGGAAGAAUAUUUAAUUUGGAAUCAGUUAGUGAAGAGGAGAUCCAACACGAGGCACACCUUGUAGAAGAACAACGACUUCAUGAAGUUUGGCGACGUAGGAGGAAUGAGCACAAGAAGAUGUCGGAAAUUUUUAAGCAUGUAUGGGGGAGUAUGAAGUUGUGGGCUGGUGGUAUCGUUGUAACAGAGCUCAUUUUAUUUGUUGAUGAUGUGCGACGCAACACUGCUAGUACUCCUACUAGCGUGGAAGAACCUAACAAGAAGUGCCCGUGUUGCGGCACUCACCUACACGAUUAAUUAACUAUCAAAAGCUAAGUUGCAUCCGACAGUUGAUGCCCAGUUUUUAUAUCCUAAUAACAAUUGUGCCGGUAUGCAUGUGCUUUAUUUUAUUGUGAUGAGCAUUAUUACGUGUGAACUGAUUGUAACAAUUGUGAUUACUGGACAAAGCUUGACUGCUGUAAGAAAAUC